rnacentral:rRNA from 1 species
AUGGAGCCGACCUUGAAAUACCACCCUUUAAUGUUUGAUGUUCUAACGUUGACCCGUAAUCCGGGUUGCGGACAGUGUCUGGUGGGUAGUUUGACUGGGGCGGUCUCCUCCUAAAGAGUAACGGAGGAGCACGAAGGUUGGCUAAUCCUGGUCGGACAUCAGGAGGUUAGUGCAAUGGCAUAAGCCAGCUUGACUGCGAGCGUGACGGCGCGAGCAGGUGCGAAAGCAGGUCAUAGUGAUCCGGUGGUUCUGAAUGGAAGGGCCAUCGCUCAACGGAUAAAAGGUACUCCGGGGAUAACAGGCUGAUACCGCCCAAGAGUUCAUAUCGACGGCGGUGUUUGGCACCUCGAUGUCGGCUCAUCACAUCCUGGGGCUGAAGUAGGUCCCAAGGGUAUGGCUGUUCGCCAUUUAAAGUGGUACGCGAGCUGGGUUUAGAACGUCGUGAGACAGUUCGGUCCCUAUCUGCCGUGGGCGCUGGAGAACUGAGGGGGGCUGCUCCUAGUACGAGAGGACCGGAGUGGACGCAUCACUGGUGUUCGGGUUGUCAUGCCAAUGGCACUGCCCGGUAGCUAAAUGCGGAAGAGAUAAGUGCUGAAAGCAUCUAAGCACGAAACUUGCCCCGAGAUGAGUUCUCCCUGACUCCUUGAGAGUCCUGAAGGAAC